GAGGGUAUAGCUUAGUGGUAGAAUGCAUGCCUCGGAUGCACAAGGUCCUGGGUUCAAUCCCCAGUAACUCUG
rnacentral:tRNA from 1 species